GCCUCCCAAAGUGCUGGGAUUACAGGCUUGAGCCACUGCGCCCAGCUCAUUUUGUAUUUUUAUUUAUUUAUUUCUAUUUGUUUUUGUUGUUGUUGUCCUCCAAGUCUAUUUUUUUUUUUUUUUGAGAUGAAGUCUUGUUCUGUCACUCAGGCUGGAGUGAGGAUUAAGAAUUUGCUACCAGGCUGGGUGCGGUGUCUCAUGCCUGUAAUCCCAGCACUUUGGGAGGCCGAGCCUCUGGGAGAAGCUUCGGGCCGUCCUGCAGGCUACAUACAUCCACUCCCGGAACCUGGCGUGCUUUGUGUUCACCUACAAGGGUCUCUGUGCCCUGCAGUCCUGCAUCCAAGGCAAGACCUACCAGGUGCACUCAUUCCUGGCCGCCUUCCUUGGGGGUUUGCUGGUGUUUCGAGAAAACAAUAACAUCAACAGCCAGGUAAAGAGCUUUCUGAGGUGAAGGUGGUGAGGGGGCGUGGUUCAGUAGACAGGUGGGGGUGACAAAAGUGGGUGUGGUUCCAUAUAGAGGGAGGAGUGGGGAAAGGGGGCCUGAUUCUACAUAGCAGUAGGGGUGGGGGAAGGGACAUGGUUCGGUGUAGAGGUGGGAGUGGGGGAGGAGGCGUGGUUCUGUAUAGAGGUGGGGUGGGGGAAGGGGCAUGGUCCUGUAUAGAGGGGCAUGAUUUUCUGUACAGCAGUGGGGGAAAGGCAUGGUUCAGUGUGGAGGUGGGAGAGGGGGAAGGGGGCGUGAUUCCGUAUAGCGGUGGGAGUGGGGGAAGAGGCAUGGUUCAGUGUAGAGGUGGGAGUGGGGAAAGAAGGCGUGGGUUCUGUACAGAGGUGGGGUGGGGGAAGGGGCAUGGUCCUGUAUAGAGGCAGGGAUGGGGGAAGGGCUGUGGUUCAGUGUAGAGGUAGGGGUGGGGGAAGAGGCAUGGUGGGGGAAGAGGCAUGGUGGGGGAAGAGGCAGGAGUGGGGGUAGGGGCGUGGUUCAGUGUAGAGGUGAGAGUGGCGAAAGAGGAUGUUGUCCGGUAUAGAGGUAGGGUAAGGGGGCAUGGUUCUGUAUAGAGGUGGGGCUAGAGGAGGGGGCCCUGGUUCAGUAUAGAGGUUGGGGUGUAGGUGAUGAAGAUGGUAAGCUCUUGGCUUUUUUUUUUUUGAAACGGAGUUUUGCUCUAGUUGCCUAAGCUGGAGCUGGAGUGCAAUGGCCCUAUCUCGGCCCAUUGCAACCUCCACUUUCCAGGUUCAAGCGAUUCUCCUGUCUCAGCCUCCCAAGUAGCUGGGAUUACAGGCAUGAGCCACCACGCCGGGUUAAUUUUGUAUUUUUAGUAGAGAUGGGGUUUCUCCAUGUUUGUCAGGCUGGUCUCAAACUCCCAACCUCAGAUGAUCCUCCCACCUCGGCCUCCCAAAGUGCUGGGAUUACAGGCAUGAGCCACUG
rnacentral:lncRNA from 13 species